UCGUUUAUCGUGAAAUGGCAUAUGAAUUUUAUGGAAAUAAGUCGAUGUUAAAAUAACCUCGUUGUUAAUAUUACUGAAGAAAACGAAUAAUUAAUAUUAUUUUUACAUUAUAUUAUCUAAUAAUUAUUGUAUAUUUUGUACAUAGAGUAUAUACUUAUUUCAUUUUAGAUGCAGAUAGUAUAAAAAAGUGCGUAUGAUAGAGGACCUAUUUUCUACAAAAUUGUGCCACUUCAAAACAGAAUGUCAAGGAAAUGCUGCUAUGUAAUUUUUCAGAUGUAGAUUGUGGCCCAUAAUUAUGUCAAUGUCUUGCAGGCGGUUUUUCCAGCCAAUCUUGCGAAGAAAACUUUUGCGUGACAAUCGCUUGACUAGUUGCGCAUAUUCAUACACACUCAUGCAACUUCAUUAUUCUCAGGGUCGCAUGCAUAUAUUUUGGAGGUUAAGGAGAGAAGACUUAACAAAGUUGACAUGUGAAAUCGAGUACAAAUAAGUAAAGCAUACUUCACUCGUCGGCGAUGAUGGACGUAUUGGAGGCGUUGCACAAUUUACAAUCCUCUUCUCCAAGUAGGGGCGUGUUUCUUCUUAUAAGACAUGCUAAACGAGAAGCUGUCCUCGGUUAGAUUGCAAACAGUCGAGCUGUGAAAUCGCUUCAGGAUGCGUUGGAGCUCAUUGUGCCUUCUGUUGUUAUUUAUCAUCCUAGCAAAAGCUUAUAUGAAGUCUUGCAAGUAUUGGUGCAAGAUGGAUGAUCAUCGUUAUUAUUGUUGCCCAAGUGGAAAAACCGACUUUUGGUCAGAACAUGGCUGGCAUACGUUCUUCUUCCCGUGGUUCUGGUUUGGUGUUGAAGAACCACACGUUGAACAUCCUUGGCAUGAGGUCAUGAAGCCUAAAAAGCACUGUCCACCUUUGAGAGCUGAAUGUCCUAGGACUUAUGAGUGGUACAAGCCGCCUGAAUUUUGCGAAAGCGAUCACGAGUGCAGUGAGUCGGAAAAGUGCUGCUACGAUGUAUGCUUGGACCAUAAAACAUGUAAAGAAGCGGAAUAGAAUUUUUUCGUAAUUUUGUAAUACCUGGUCUUAUACACUUAGUUGACUGUCAGCGAGUAUGACUCAUAAAUUCGCAAAGUUAUGGAGUACUAUGCUGUGAGCUAAACGUAAUAAACAAUGUGAAUAAAAAGGAACACGAUAGAUUGCGUCUCAACAAAUAAAAAAUCAACAAAAUGCGUUUGACCAUUUGCUGAUUUUCGUGGGAUUGCUGAUGCAGCGAGCGAGUUCCUUAAUUAGUGUAAAAGUCACGGCACAUAAUAUUUCGCGACAGUACAUUCGCAAUAAGGUAUAAUUGGCAUAUCAGGUUGCGUCUCGUCGAUUAACAUUCGCACAUGUCCUAUAAAUUCUUGGAAAAAUGUGCCACACAAAGCGAGAUGUUUGGUAUUUUUUCCCAUCCAAAUUAAGGGGAUCAUUUUUAAUGUGGCCCACCGGAAGAAUCCAAUCGAGCUACAAGGACGUCCGAAUCAUCGAAAAACAAGGUCAUUUCGAAUUCCUCGAAUUGUUUAUGAGUUAUGACGCAGUACUAUUCCAAAGUAAUUUAAGAAAUCCAUAUUAUAUAUGCAACAAAAAAAGAUAUAAAUUGAUGUAUUUUCUAUUAUUUAUUCUGAGAUACGUUACGAAAUAAGAAACAGAAUGCAGAUUAAUGAUAAUUCGUCAAUAUAUAUGAUUUUGACAUGAACAUAAUUCGCGGGGUAUUUUGUAAGAAAUUUGAACGCAAUCUCAUGAUCAAUGUGACGUAUACGUCACGUGAUUUAUUUCGCGGUCACGAAUAAUAGUGAAUUACUUCAAGGCGAAGAUGUCGGACGUGAAUUAACGUCGUCCUGUGUUUCGCGCACGUUCUUCCUCCUUCGAAAUGAAUUCUACACGCAAUCAAGUAUUCGUAAUAUCGAAUUCAACAAUGGGCGAUUGUCAGAUAACAAAGGAUGGAUUAUCUGAGGAAUAUCGAGUUACAAUUGGUUACAACUGGCAGGACAUCGAGUUGCAAUGAGUUACAACUGGCAAGACAUCGCUUGACAUAAUUGAUGCGUCGACCGCACACGCGCUCAGCAUUCUUGGUGGGGAAACAGAGACGAGUGCGAACGCACGACUAAGCAAGACGACGACGCCGGCCGGCCGGCGGAAGAAUGGUAGAGAAGGGGAUUUAGCGGACGCGCACCUAUGCCGACACGGAACUCGGAAGAGCAGCGCACUCGGUGGCAUUCGCUCGCGAGCCGCUGUGCCGUGCGGUUGUAUUCUCUUCGUAAGCUGACGGCGCGUGUCAACCAGCCGGCUUUUCGACGUGCUGUCAUCCUCCCCGCGAGAGAGAGCAACUCUUACGCAUGAAUCGCGAGACUGCGUUACGGUUUUUUUUCUCCCUUAUAAACUAGCAGUGAGAGAAAAAAGAGGGUGAGUCUCCGUCGUGAGAGAGAUAAUUCGGACGACAGUCGUCGUUCCGUUAUCGAGGAAACCGGCGUAACGCCACCGCUCGUUGUCGGUCGCGAGCGCGGAACGGUACCUCCUGCACGGUGAAAUUAGCGUGGAAAGUGCCUGCACGCUCCGUUUCGCCUCGCGAAGGCAGAAAGAGAGAGAAAAAGAAAUAAAACAGGAAGCGAAAUAUACUCAGGACAGCUCGCAAGCUCGCUUCCUCUUUCCGGAUUCGCGCGCGCGUUCUUCGCGAUUUGUAUAUCUCGCAAUAUCUUGCUGUGAUAUUUCGCCGAGUUCGUGAAACGCGAUUAUACUCGUCCGUCCGACUAGCCGCAGUCGUCGUUGCCUAGAACUGAAACAGUGAGGGUUAAUAAGUGUGCUGUGACAGCUGCAGAAAUAUUUCCGGAGAAAAUGGAGUCGAUGAGGAUCCUGCUGUUGAUCAUCCUUACGGGCAUCGCCAGCUGUCA
rnacentral:lncRNA from 1 species